AUUGAACGCUGGCGGCAGGCCUAACACAUGCAAGUCGAGCGGUAGCACAGAGAGCUUGCUCUCGGGUGACGAGCGGCGGACGGGUGAGUAAUGUCUGGGAAACUGCCUGAUGGAGGGGGAUAACUACUGGAAACGGUAGCUAAUACCGCAUAACGUCGCAAGACCAAAGAGGGGGACCUUCGGGCCUCUUGCCAUCAGAUGUGCCCAGAUGGUAUUAGCUAGUAGGUGGGGUAACGGCUCACCUAGGCGACGAUCCCUAGCUGGUCUGAGAGGAUGACCAGCCACACUGGAACUGAGACACGGUCCAGACUCCUACGGGAGGAAGCAGUGGGGAAUAUUGCACAAUGGGCGCAAGCCUGAUGCAGCCAUGCCGCGUGUAUGAAGAAGGCCUUCGGGUUGUAAAGUACUUUCAGCGGGGAGGAAGGUGUUGAGGUUAAUAACCUCAGCAAUUGACGUUACCCGCAGAAGAAGCACCGGCUAACUCCGUGCCAGCCGCCGCAGUAA
rnacentral:rRNA from 1 species